GGGGGCGAAAAGGGUUCGACGGGAGCAAUUGAAGCGCAGGAGGCAUGCCGGCUUUCCUGAUCCGUUACAAUCGGGAACCUAACACAAUUGCCAACAACAACUUGGCUCUGGCUGCUUAACUAAAUCAGCCACGGUUGCAGCGGUUUCGCCUGCGGACCGUUGACAACCGUCAUUCAGCAGGCUGGGAACGGAUGGUUGCCUCGGCUGUCCGGACGACAACGCAGAGGCUGGCUGACGGGGAGUUUGCCUGUUUAAUUCGCCGUCAGCGAAAAAUGAAAACAGGCUAAGCAUGUAGGCUCCUGACGCGGAAGGCUUUCGGACGGGGGUUCAAUUCCCCCCGCCUCCACCA
rnacentral:tmRNA from 1 species